UAUGUAGGAAGCUCAUCAGCGGGGCCACGUGCUGAGUGCCCGUCACUCCCCGGCCCCUGGGAAGGUCUGAGACUGGGGCCUCCCGCGGCCCUAACCGGGCUCUCCCCGACCCCGGGGAGGGCAGACUGGGCAGGAGAGGCCCCGAGUGGCCGGAUGCCUCCCUCGCCGGAGCUUGGAACAGACUCACGGCCAGCCAAGAGCGAGUUCAAUGGCUGAGGUGAGGUACCUCGCGGACCUCAUAACCCAAUUCAGACUACUCUCCCCCGCC
ensembl:ribozyme RNaseP_nuc Nuclear RNase P